GUCUAAUGGGCGCUCAGAGGGAGGAAGUGAAGCCAGUCGGGAACCUCCUCCAGGGCCGCGUGUCCGUGAUGGACCAGGAAAGUAUGAGCUUUUUGCGUUCAUCAGUCACAUGGGAACGAGCACAAUGUGUGGUCAUUAUGUCUGCCACAUAAAGAAGGACCACCAGUGGGUAAUCUUCAACGAUCAGAAAGUUUGUGCCUCUGAGAAACCACCUAAGGACCUUGGCUAUCUGUACUUUUACCGAAGAGUGGUGGAAUAGAGUAAAUUAAAAUAGUAUUUUCCUCACAGACACACACACACACACACACUCAUCUGUGUCUGAUCUACUGAAACAGUAGGCCCAGACUCCUGCUUCUAAACUGAUGCACCAUUUAAUAAGUCAAAGCACUUCUCCAUCAAAUAUAUUCACUACUAAGAGAACCCAGACAUAAUAAUGACAGAAG